GACAAUGGCUUGAUAGACAUUGAAGAUCUAAGGCAACGACUUGAAUCAUAUAAACAUGCAAACAGGCCUAUUUUGGGUUCUUUUUCAGCUUGUAGUAACGUGACUGGGAUUUUCUCGGAUACUCGAGGAAUUGCUCAACUUCUUCAUCAACAUGGUGGUUUUGCUUGUUUUGAUUUUGCUGCAAGGUAACACAAAAUUUAUUCUUGUGUUUCCUUCUCCUUUUUUAACCAUUUAUGCCUGAAAUGCACUUAUAUUUUGUAAUUGUUUAUUGCAUCAUCAAGCACUAACUUCUUGGUUUAUACACAUAUAUAUUUAUGUAGUGGUCCAUACGUGAAAAUUGAUAUGAGAUCCGGAGAGAUUGAUGGUUAUGAUGCGAUUUUCCUUAGCCCACACAAAUUCCUAGGAGGGCCCGGAUCACCGGGAAUACUUCUGAUGAGCAAAGCCCUGUAUCAGCUAGGAUCCUCAGCUCCAUCAACUUGUGGAGGUGGAACUGUUGAUUUUGUAAAUGGCUUCUGUGAAAAGGUAUGCCUUACAUGUUUCCUCUAUUUGCUUCAUAUCAAUGGGAUAAAAAGUGGGAUGUCAACCUAAAUUAAAGUUUCUUCAUUAAUUGCAGCAUACAUUGUACUUGAAUGAAAUAGAGGAGAGAGAGAACGGAGGAACUCCUCAGAUAAUUCAAACCAUUAGAGCAGCUUUAGCUUUCUGGGUUAAAGAAUACAUUAGCUACAGAGUGAUUGAAGAGCAGGAGAAUAUGUACAUCGCAAAGGCAAUCGACAGGCUUCUCCCAAACAAGAAUAUAUGGGUUUUAGGUAACACUACUGCUAAGCGACAAGCUAUACUGUCCUUCCUCAUAUACUCCACUACAAACUCUUCAUCAACUCGCAUGAUACAUGAGAGCAGCACAACUGAUAGAAAAAACAUCAACGAUGAGGUUCUUUACAUGUGGGGAGAGGUAGGAAACAAAAGAGACAAGCCUCUUCAUGGACCUUUUGUCGCAGCACUCCUUAACGACCUAUUUGGCAUCCAAGCUAGAGGUGGCUGCGCUUGUGCUGGCCCCUACGGUCAUAGUUUGCUCCAUGUCAAUGAGCCAGGCUCCCUAGCCUUCAGAUCUGCCAUAAAUAAGGUAGAUAGUUCUUCUAAUGUUUCUCGACAAUGUUCAAUCAACAGCUGCUAAAGCACUGCAGCUUGCUGUGAUUUCACUAAAUGUCAACGUUUGAUGCCAUUAAUAUAAUUCUGAUGCUUCAAUUGCAGGGUUAUGUUGGAGUAAAGCCAGGUUGGACAAGAGUUAGCUUCCCCUACUACAUGUCCAGUGAGGAAUUUGAGUUCAUUCUUGCAGCGAUUGAGUUUACGGCCAUUUACGGCCAGCGAUUCCUUCCACUGUAUCACUUCAAUUGGAAAACAGGUAGCUGGACGUUCAGAAACAACGAAUUCAAGAACCCAGUAGACAAAGAAAACAAUAAUGAUACCAACAAGUUUGCGUCAUAUUUUACGAGGGCUAAACACAUUGCAAAUCUGCUUCCCAAAUUCCCUUCCCAACGAAAGAUUCCUCGGGACAUAGACCUUAACCUCUUGUAUUUCCGAGUCUAGUACCCCUCCACCUCCUGCUGUUGGCGGCUACUGAUUGUUCCUGUGUGGAGUCAUGUUGGCAUGUCAAUUUUUCUUCUAUUGAGGUAUAAUAAUUAGUAUCACAUUGAUAUAUAUAUAUCAAGAAAAUAUACACAUUUUUUUUUAAUUCUUUUUAUAGUUUAUUGUUACUUGCUGCUGUCUAUCCAUAAUAUUUAACCAUGUGCUCAAAUAAAUGUGUUUUUAGAAUUAUGAUGUAAAGUAAUUUUAAAAAAUAUUUUUAUAUAAAAAUUUAUUAAAAUAUUUCUUUUACUUUUAAUAUUAAUAUAUUAAAAUUAUAAAAAAUAUUAAAAAAACAACAAUUUAUUAUUUUUUAAAGACAAAAAUACUUUUAAAAAUGCUAAAAUAUAUAAGCAUUUUUUUCCUUCUUCUGGAGCAAUUUAUGAGAUUAAAUAUUAUCAUAGCAAUUAUUUUUUUAAGUAAUUUUUAUUGGAAAAUAUAUAAAAAUAAUAUUUUUUUUAUUUUUUAAAUUUAUUUUUAAUAUAAAUAUCAAAAACAAUUUAAAAAUAUAAAAAAAUAAUUGAAAAUUAAAAAAAAAAACUAAAAAAUAUUUAAAAAACAAAAAUAAACAAAUUACAUAUAAAUAAAACUUCACCUAUCUUCUUCUUCCUCCUCUUUCUUCUCAAGAUGGGUAUUCAUUAUCAACAUCAACACAAUUUAAAAUAGACUCAUUUAACUGCCAAUCUUGAUACAACAAUGAUUCAUUANNNNNNNNNNNNNNNNNNNNNNNNNNNNNNNNNNNNNNNNNNNNNNNNNNNNNNNNNNNNNNNNNNNNNNNNNNNNNNNNNNNNNNNNNNNNNNNNNNNNCAAGAUGGGUAUUCAUAUCAACAUCAACACAAUUUAAAAUAGACUCAUUUAACUGCCAAUCUGAUACAACAAUGAUUCAUUAGAAAUCCUCCAUCUUAACAAACUUUCAUCGUGAAAUCUUAACUCUCUCUUCAGAUCCACAAUCAUUACCUGGGUUUUUACCAGUACUAACAAAAUUCGGAUUUUGAAACAAGAAAAGGAAACAUGAAUUUUUUUGUUUUGGUUUAAGUUUUUGGGUUGUUGGGUUUUAAAAAUAAAAGUGAGUGGGAUGCUAGCCAAAAAGGUAAAGAAAAGGGUGGCUAUUGAGUAGUUGAUUGGGAAGGAAAGGAUGAAAACAUAUACGGGAAAAAAGAAAGAAAGUCGGGGGGAAUAAUGGAUUUGCUUGCUUGGCAGAAGAGGGAAAUGGAAGAAUUGAUUGAAAGGGAAAUUUGGAGGCCAAAAGGGAGAAGAAGAAGAAGAAGACGACGACGACGACGACGACGGGAAGUGGGUGUUUUGAGAGAAGGAAAACGUGCCGGAGAAGUGAAGUGACAGUAAAGGGAACUAGGCAAGGCAAAUAGCACUUGUCCUCUUGGACAAAAAUAAGAGAUUGGUAUUCCAAAAAUAGCAAAGUGGCUUUCAAUUUACAAUAACAAUCAUACCCUUUUUAAAGAGUUAUGCUAUUUUAAUUAUGGAUACGUAGUUUAAUUGCCUAUAUUUUAAUUUUAUUUUUUAAAAAUUAUUAAUUUAAUUGUUAUAAAUUUUAAAGUUAUUAAAGAUUUAUAUAAUUAUUAAUUUUAGAAUUUUAAAAAAUUAAUUAAAAUACACGUAUGUUAGUUCAAAUAUCUACAAUUAACCAAAAAACAAAUUGCUCAAUUUUCAUGUUGAAAAUCAGUGGUGUAAGUCAUCAAGCUGUUUUAUAUAUAUUAUGUUUCUGUUUUUAAAUAUCUUUCAAGAAUAUUUUUAAUUUUAAAAUAUAUUAAAUUAUUUUUUUUAAUUAUUUUAUGACAGUUUUAAUGUAAUGAAAUUUUAAAAAAAUUAUUUUAAUAUAUUUUUAAAAAUAAAAUUAUUUUAUAAAACAAUAAACACUUAUGUUGAAUCAAUUAAUUCAUAUAGUAUGUUGUAUUGUGUCAAAUCACAUAUGCUUUAAGGCUAAAUUAGAUUAUUUUAAUGUAUUUUUUCUUUUCUCUUUACUAAAACAAUUUAUAUGUUAUUUUAAAUUAAUUAAAAAUAUAUUUUUUAUAUUACUUUAUUAGAUUAUUAUUACUUUAUUUGAUAUCAUUUGACUUUUAUUGUGCCUUCAAAUAAAAUUAUAAUUUUUUUAAUUAGAAAUUUUAUUUUUUUAACUAAGUUACUAGCUCAACUAGCAAUAGUUAAGUGGUAAGGAAUUAAUUAGGAGGGGAGGACAUCCAUGUUUCGAGUCCUACCACUUGUAUUUCCCAACCUGUAUGUAAGUGUGUGGUCAACUGGAAAUCUCGAGCUAGCAGGCUCUCUUCUGUGGUUUGGCUUUUAGAAGUGACCGCUUAACCGUGGAUCGCAUCCAGGAGUGUAUCCAUAAUAUUAAGAAAACUGUUAUUUUUUGUAUAACCCAUUGUAUUUUUCCAGUUUAUUCAAUGUCUUUGUUUAUGAUCUUUGAUUUUCCUCAUCGUAUUAUGAAACUCAUUCGGGUUUAUAAUCCAGAUCUUAAAUUCAACAAAUUAACAUGAUUAACUCUAAGAUUUCAUCAAUAUUUUAAAAAUAAUAUUUUGAAUUUUUUUUUAAAAUCAAGCUGAGUUUUGAAAGGUUAUUUGAUCUAUCUUUGGAUCAUGCAUCAUUAUCUAUCCAUGUCUCUCAACUUCACGGCAUAAUUAAUAUUUGGUUUGUAGCAGAAUCUCUUUUCAAUAUUUAUUUGUGCAUGUCAAUAUAUUUUGUUAAAUGCAUGUAUUAGGUUUUUAGCUCAUAGUUCAACUAGAAAAACAAUAUUGAAAACGCCUAACAUUCUUUAUUUAUGUAAAUAAAAAAGAAAAGAAAAGGAUAUUUAGCAUUCUAUAUAUAGUAACAGGGGGUGAUGGGACUUUCUUUCCUUUUUUUUCAGCAGCAAGCAAGCAACCACAGAGAUUUAGAAAUACCCUAUUAAUAAUUAAUUCCAUAUUGUUAUGGUUUUUCCAUAUUGACGUUGGUGAUGAAUUUUGUUAUUAUGUUUGAUUAUUUCUGAAUAAGGGUUUUUUCUUUCUUUUUGACAGGCUUUCGAAUUAUCAACAUGAAUUUAAUUACAUCAGGGCGAAUAAACUUUUGAUUUUGGCCUUUCCAUGUUACAAGUGUUUUUCAAAAAAAUUAUUUAUUUUAUUUUUUAUUUUAAAUUAAUUUUUUUAUAUUUUGAUAUUAUUUUGAUGUGCUCGUACUAAAAAUAUAUUUUAAAAAAUAAAAAUAAAUAUUAUUUCAAUAUAUUAUUUUUUAAACUUAGAGUAAGCUUUGAGUAUUUCUAUUGGAAUGACAGCUAAGGUUAUAUAAGGGAAGAAGAUGAGUACGAUAUUUUAUUUAUUCAAUGGGGAAUUUGCAAGGGAAAAACAAUGAUAAUUUUAUACAUAAUUAAAUAUUUUUUUGUUGAACUUUUUUUUUUUGUGAGAAUGUUAAUUGUUAGUGUGUAGAAACUUAUGAUGUCAAAUCAAAAUUUUUAAAUUAUAACGGGUAAUUAUAACAUGGAUUAUAGGAUAUUAAGAAUAAUUUUUUUAAAAAAUAAAAAAUAAAAAACUUGAACCAAACCAAAACACUUUUAUUUAAUCCCUUUUAUAAAAUGAGUUUGGAACUAAAAUUGAUAUAGAAUUAAUUCUAGUAAUUACUAGAAUAAAUUACAUUUAUUAUUAUCUUUGAUUGUCCAUGAUAAAACCAUAAUUAAACCUAAAAUUUUUAGCUUUAAAUCAAAUGUCUUUUAAACUCAAAAACUAUUCAAAUUAGAGAAAACUCUUCUAAAAAAACUGAUUUAAUGGGGUAAAAAAAUUAAUUUAUGUGAAUAAGAGUGUAAAAGUUCCGCAAAAACCUGUGCAGAAAAAUCAACCACAAAACACUUUUCUUCAACCCUUUUUAUAGAUGAGUUUGGAACUAAAACUGAUAUAGAAUUAAUUAUAGUAAUUACAAGAAAAAAUUCCCUCCACUAUUAGCUUUAAUUAUUCAUCAUUAAAUCAAAAUUAAACCUAAAUAUUUUGAAUUUAAAUAAAAGAAAACUAAUCAUAUUAAUGGGUUGAAAAAAAAUUGUUCAGGUUAGAGAAAACUAAUCAUAUUAUAUUAUUAAUGGGCUGGACUAGACAAAACAAUUGGCUAAAAAAAUUAAUUUAGAUGAAGAAGAGUGCUCAAAUAUCUAUAGAAUUUUGUGUAGAAAAAUCAACUCCAAAACACUCUUUUUCAACCGAGUUUGGAAUCAAAACUGAUAUAGAAUGAAUUCCGGCAAUUACAUGAAUACAUUUCAUUAAUUAUCAACUUUUAUUAUCCAUCAUAAAACCAUAAUUAAACCUAAAUAUUUUAAUUUAAAAUCAUAUAUCUUGUGAGCUAAAAAAAACUAUUCAAGAUUAGAAAAAAAAACUCUUAUAAAAUAAAACUGUUUAGAUUCUAUCUUUCAUGAAUUGGAUUAGCAAAACAGUGAGGUGAAAAAAAUUAAUUCUUUAUUGGCCAAAGAAUUAUAAACCCAAGCCCAUGUACAUAAUAGUUUAGCAAAAAAUAAUUUUUUUAUAGCUCUAAAAGUUAUUUUAUAAUAAAUCAAUCUAUUUUUUAUAUUUUCACUAAAUAAACCAUUAAAAAAACUUGUUUCUCUUCUAUAUAUAAUAUAACUUUUAGAAGGUUAUGCAUUUCUUCAAAAAUAUAUCAACCAUAUUAAUUUAUUAUUUAUUUAAAUCAAGUUCAAAGUUAAAAAACCAAGUUGAAGAUUAAAUUUCAUUAAAAUUUCGACCAAGAAAAAAUUAGUAGACCCCAUUUUUUAAUUGACCUGAAAUAUACUCAUUAUCCAUGAUUUAAAACAAAAUUGCAGCCCUUCAGACAUGCAUGCAAACAAUCUUUCACCUCAAUCUCAACUGUCUAAAGCAUCAAUGAUUGCAUCAAUGGGUGCUAACUUUUGGUAUUUAUUAACUUUGUGAAUUAGUGGUCCAUAUGUGGAAAUUGACAUGAGGUCUGGGGUGAUUGAUGGAUAUGAUGCUGUCUUUUCUAAGCCCCCAUAAAUUCCUGGGGGACCUGAAUCAUUAGGAAUACUUUUGACGAGCAAAACUCUUUAUCAAUCCAGAUCUUCAUCUCCAUCAACUUGUGGAGGUGGAACUGUUAAUUACGUAAAUGGUUUUCAUGGAAAAGUAUGGUUUAUAUAUCAACCAUCAAGUGACUGAAAACAAGAGGGUUUUCCCACAAGAAAAGCACUAAAGAGGCUUUUACCAUGUAAGGACAUGUGUGUUUUAGGGAAUAGCACUGCAAAGAGACAAGCUAUACUGUCCUUCCUCGUAUACUCUACUGCAAACUCUAGGAGUGAUAGCAAGAAUAGAAGGAAUAUGGGGGUUCUUUACAUGUGGGAAGAGACAGGAAAGACAAGCUUCUCCAUGGAUCUUUUGUUGCAGCACUCCUUAAUGACUUAUUUGGUAUUCAAGCUCGAGGUGGGUGUGCUUGUGCUGGUCCUUAUGGUCAUACUUUGCUCCAUGUCGAUGAGAGCUCCUCCCUUUGCCAUCAGAUCUACCAUUGAAGAGGUAAUAGCUCUCCAAAUAUUUGCUUUCAUUUAUAAGAUAUUCGUGUUUCUCAAUCACUUGUAAACAACAUUAAUAUUUGAGAAAUGUCGCUGCAAGUCCAUGCUAGACAUUUAUCAGCAAAAACGCUAUUCAACUUCUGAUCGCACUGGCUCGGGGCUACUUGUAAAAGUUGCUAGAUAUUAAAAUGCUGCCAAAAAUUAUUUUUAAUUGCAGUUGUUAUAAAUAUUCGAUGUUCCUUGUUAACUGUACUAAUGUUGAUGUUUUGUUCUAGGGUUAUGUUGGGGUAAAGCCAGGAUGGACAAGAGUGAGCUUCCCUUGCUACAUGUCCGACGAGGAAUUCAAGUUCAUUCUUACAGCUAUCGAGUUUAUAGCCAUUUACGGCCAGAGAUUUCUUCCACUGUAUCACUUCAACUGGAAAACUGGCAGUUGGACUUGCAAGACAAAGGGAUUGAAGGACCUGAUGGUUAGAGAAAGCAGUGGCAGUAUUCAUUUUCUUGCCAUUGGAAAAUACUAAACACCCUGGGAUUGUCAAUAUAAGGGGCCUCGUGUUCAACAGCCUUGAAUCUGCAGAUGAUGUCGUUCACAGAAGUAAUUACAAAGGGGACGCAACAGCGAGUCCUUCUAUAAUGAAAACUAGUGAUGGACAAGUCAACUGGCUUGUUGCAUCGACUUAUAAUGGGAUGGUAGCAAAUUGAAGAUGAUUCACAAAUUCACCAAUUUGUUUAAUUCUGGUAAGCUUUGACUUGCUAAGAUUCAAAUAAUUGAUCUGCCUAGAUAUCUAAACUGAUAGCAACCAAUUAAAAAUCGACCACUGAAAAAAGUCUUUCCAUUUCCCACUUCCAUGCUGGCCGGUGUAGUAAUCAUAGCAUACGACAACAGUUGAUACUGAACAAAUUGUCUGCUGAUGGAUUCACAAUUAGCACCUGUAUCUUUGAGAUUGACUGAAUUCAACCCUUUCUCAGAUUUGACAAUCCUGCUUAAUCUUGGAAAAUUAUGAUAAUAAUGCAAGUAAAAGACCUGUUACCUUGGAGACAUAGCCUUUGUGAGAUUGCAAGUCCACCUGCACAUAGGAGCUGAGAGUCUCAGACCAACAUAUUAGUGGCAUGUCUUUUGAGUAUACAAAAAUAAUGUGCUGCUACUGUUUCAACAGAAAAGAAGCUUCAAUCAUAUUGUAGAAAAAGAUAAACAGCCACAAAGUUAGCGAACAAGACUGUGGCAGCAGGACCAUAAACUGUCACCAAGAAAAAGAAAAAUGCUCAGCGGAUAUCAUAACAACAAAGUUGUUUCUAUAUCAACAUGCUUGAUUCCUAUUCCAUGCAACACUUAACUUGGUUUGACAACUUGUCCAGCCCAAGUAUGUGCUCACUAAUUAUGUUCUUGGGGGAAGACAGUGAACCCAACUUCCAGGUUGAUCCAGCCUCUGGCAAGCGUGGAGGAUUCAAGGGUGGUGGAGCUUGCUGAUGAUUUUUCAAGACUUUAUGCCUUAUCAAAACAAGGAUAAGAUUUUACAAAAUAAACUCUUAUAAAAUGCCAGUGGUUCAAACCAGAAUUUCCUACUACAAUUACAGAGCAAUAAUAAAUAACAGAAAGUGGUUUAGUUUUAUUUCCUUUUCAUUUUCCCUUGAAAAUUUUGAGGCCCAUUCUUCAUGGCAAGAAGCAACUGCAUCUUGCCUAUGGAACAAGUUUAUGUAACUGACCAAAAAGGAAAAGGAGACUGUACGGGAAGGGAAAUGUCUUCUAUGAGUUGACUAGAAUGGACAGUGUGCAUCAUUUGCUUGUCUUUAUGCAUUUCAUGAAACUCCACCACCCAGAAAGACAAUGGAAGAAAGAAAGAAAGAGCAUGAGAAGCAACUGAAUACAAACAAUGAAGAAAAAACCCCCACCUUUUUUAUAUCUAAGAAAAAACCCAUCUGUUUUCAAAGGAAAUGGCUGGCCAUCAAAAGUUGUGGCCUCUCCUUGUCUUCUUCAAUCUCCAUUGAAGCUUCAGAUCUUAUUUCCUGAACCCUUUGAUCCCAGAUACCAUCCAUUAGCUUCCAAGUUUCAUCACUGACAACUUGUGUCUGUUCACGAAACCAUUUGAAAAAGAAACAGUCAGCAUUACUAGCACGACAAUGAAUUUAAUGUGGACUACUGGAAUUCUCACUACUUCAUUACCUCCAUAGGGCGGGGUGCACCAAAGGUUGCAAACCCAACAUUUCCAGGUGCAAAUGUAACCCUCCCAGGAAGGGUAAUCCCAUGGAUCCCCCAUCGUCCAGCAUAAAUUAGGGCUCCAUAUUCAUCAACAGGAUUUACAGCGGGCUGAAUAACAAGUAAUAGAAUACAGAAAUUAAAAUGCUUAAAUCAUCAUAAAUAUCCCAAUCAUCAACCCUUUAUUAUUUAAACAUCUAGAAACUGUGGCAUGACAGUUAACUGAACAAGCAUGAGAGCAGAGAAGGAGAGGAGCUGCCAUGAACCUUGAUGUUUUAUGCAACUUCUCCUUCCCUGGUCUACCCUUUUUCCUUUAUCUAAACAAAAUUGUAACCUAAUUAUUUUCAUCACCACUUAUUUGAGAUAUUGCAAGUGCCAUCAGAAUUUGAUUUUGCAGUAUAAUUUGACCUAUCCCCCUUAAAAUGUCUACAAGUAAAUGUAAGACAUCGUUAUAUAAACAUGUAUUUUAUACUCUGCAAGCACUUCACAAGUUUAAUAUUGUGUAACAUGUCCCAAAUUAUUUUUAAAUGACACAAGAGAACAACUGGUACAAAUUUCUGCAGAGCCAGACUAUAAAACAAAAAUCAAAUAAAUCAAAUCAGGAUAGUAACAGUCAAGAUAAUAGUGUUUUAAGAAAAUUAAAAAAGAAAUCGUAGACCAAUUCUAAACUCAAUUUCUAUAAUAAGCAACUUGAAAUAAUCAUAUUCAAGGAUAAGGUCAAGAACUCACUUGAGGUAUUCGAGGAGCUCUUUUGUAUAUGUCCCAAAUUUCUGACGCUUCUAUCUGUCCCUUCUCAAGUAAAAUGUCUGCACAGAAUGAAGGAAUGAGGCCAACAGAUAUCAAGCAUUUCACAUAUAGAACUGCCUCAAAUGACCAAGUUUCAACAAAUAACUUAUUAACAAAUUGAUAAAGCCAAAAAUGUAACCUGUAAUUGUUUCUACAGCUGAAUGAUAUUCUCUCAGGACAGAUGAACAUUUGUCCACAGCAUAUCGCAUGUAUUCAUCUCGCAGAGCUUCAAGUUUAGCUGCAAGCUGUUGUGAAAAAUAAAAAAAAAUAAAAAAUUACAAAUGCAAUAUAUGCAUUCAGAAAAUCUAUUCAAAAAUGUGCAUAAAGCUCUAACAGAUUUGGCAAUUGGUUCCCAGAAAUAUACAUUGGGCACAAGAUCAUUAUGUUUCCUGUAGAAUGCUUUCCCAAAUGCUGUCAUCCCAGUUUGGAGAAUAAGAAAUUCUGCAUGGCGCGAAGCUUCCAAGGUAGCCUUUGCGGAGAUCCAACACAUGUUGUUUAUCCCAAACAUCUCCUCCUCAAUCACUCUAGCUACAUCAGAUUACCAGUAAAACUCCUUAUAUGCUUUCAGGGGAAAAAAAACAAAGACAAAGAAAGGAAAGAAGAAACAACAAUAAAGCCUUUUAAUACACAGUCCAUGAGUAUGAUUCAGUGAUGAGACCUGAUUCAGAAGACUGCUAAAUAGGAGUUAAAGCAUAAAUUACAAUCAAGGCCAACAGUCAGAAGGUGCCUAAAAGAUGAAGUAUGCAGGAGACUCUUUCUAAUUGUUUUGUGAUUAAAAUCUUUCCCCAAUAAUACUCCACAUGCAGUUCCUUGGUGUUUUUCCAUUUGUUUUUGUUUGGCACUUUUUCUUUAUCCAGUGAAAUUAUGUAAAUGUAAGACUGUUAUAUUAAAUAAUUGUUGAGGAGAAUUCUUGGAAGUUCAAGCAAAUCCUUAGGUCAGUAUUUUCCAGAUGAUAAACUCCCCCAAAACUUGAAGCUUAAAGAAAAUGUUAGCAGAAAUUGAAAAACAAUAAUAAAAAAAAGAGGAUAUUUAGGAUUUAAACUCAAAGCUCGAUAAUUAAAACCAAAAUUUAAACCUUGAGUUUUUUAAAGCAAAAGAUGAUCCGAUUAUGCAGGGAAACAAAGAUUGCUUUGACGGGAUGCUUGAUUUAAAUGCUCUAGGUAGGAAGAAUAAAAAUUCAUUUAUUUGCUUUCAAAACAGAUUUCCUUUUAUAAAAUGAUAGAAAAACAAACAAAAACAUAUCCAAAAGUUCACGGCAUUGAUCCAUAAAACAUACUACAUUAAUCUGUUUUAAAACAAAUGCUAAACAUAAAUGUAUGUAACAAUGAUAUUUUAAGACAAGAACAAGAUUCAUGUAACCUACGAGCACAUGCACGCACUAUAGAGUUCACAUAAUCUGAUUUCCUUGCAAAAAUCCUUCCUGCAGUUUCUGCAUAACGCAUAUUUGGCUGGCUGGUGAUAGAGUUUAUAUCAGUCUGCAGGAGGAGAUACAUUCAAAUACAUAACUGUCAGAUAUCUCAACACUUGAUCACAAAAUACAACCCCGGAGCAUAUUCUUCAAUUACCUCUGUGAAAGGGCGGAAGGGAUCUGGAAGGUAGCAUGCAAGAAUAGCAACAGCUGCUUCUCUGUAUGCCAAUCUUAAUUUCAAUUCCUCAGGAAUUUCAGUACUAUCUUCUUGUCCUGUUUCAAAUGUGCCUUUUUGCUGCACAAUCACAUAGCAAAUGAAUUGAGAAAAUGAGAAUGUUGGAAGUGGAAGUAAACAUGGUUUUCACAUUUAUUUUAAGAAAAAAAUUGUUAUUUUGUGCAAAAAGAGAGACAGAAAAAGAGCAGCCCUAACCCUCUUCAAGGCCUCUAAAAGUUCUUCUCGCCCAAUAUGGUCUAAAUCCUUCCUGGCAGUCAAAAUUCCAGCUUCAUUCCUGUCAUUCAGUUUAUGCAGACAUUAGCAUCUCCUUUUACUGAUAUUCAAUCAGAAGUAGAACUGUGCAUAUUCAAUAAGUAGAACUAUGCAUUAGGCAUUACGCACAGUAUGUUCUGCAGCUCUGCCCCAGUAAAAUCUUCUGUAAGCUCAGCAAUUUCCUGCAGUAGAGCGUCCCUUUCCUUUUCUGACCGAAAAAAUUUAUUUCUAGCAUGCACCUGCACAAGUUAAGUCCCAGUGAUGAUGUCAACACAAAUUUAGAGAUCUUGAAUUUUUUUAUCACUUUGAAGAAAUACCUUCAAUAUUGCCAAUCUGCCAUCUUUAGAUGGCAAACCAACUCUCACAAUCUUGUCAAAACGACCUUUUCUCAAGAGAGCAGGAUCAAGAAUAUCAAGUCUAUUUGUUGCUCCUAUAACCAGCACCUGACAAACCCAAGUUUAGCUGUUGAUCAAAGAAAUUCAAUGUCUCCAGCCCAAAUAAAUAAUACAAGCACACCUGUGAUGUAAAUUCCUUAAAUCCAUCCAUCUCAGUCAGUAUCUGAAGCAGACCUUGCUCUCUCUCUGCACCACCCUACACAAACAAUUGCAUGGAUGCACUGAAUUCAGGGAGAGAGAGAGAGAGAGAGAUAAAAGAAUUAUGUUCCAGUUCAUGUGCAGAAGUCACUGAUAUAUCAACAAAGGCUUAUAAAAUGUUAAUUGCUGUGCUGCCCGACCAAACUUCAACUGCUGGAUAUCACAAUGAAUAAGUAAAUAAAACAAAAACACUGUAAUAUUUCCAGUUUUUUUCUGGUCAUUUAUUGGUCUUGUGGCAAGAAGGUUGAGAGACUAAUUUGACAAGUUCUGCUGUGAAUUUUAUUGCAUGUUGCUUUUAAAGUCAGUAUGACUUUAAAAACUAAAUGGAAGCUCCUUAAUUUCCUUUGCAGUUGUAUAAUUGCCACUGAAGCUCCUGUAUGUUUUUGUUCUUAUCAUUUCAUUAGUGGAACUUAAUGAAUGCAAGCAAAAGUACAUACUAUCUUACCCCACCAAUAUCAGGCCCGCCACGCUUGCUACCAAUGGCAUCAAUUUCAUCAAUAAAGAUGAUGGAAGGAGCGAAUGAUCUGGCACUAGCAAAAAGAUCCUUGACACGAGAUGCUGCCACACCUACAAACAUCUAGAAAGUCAACUUCGUUAGUUAGACAAUUUUCUUUCAGUUCAAAGAGUUCAAAAUGACUAAAUAGGGAAAAUGGAAGCGAUUUAAUAAGAGUGAAAGUCAAGAAUAAGAAGCAAUGCCAAUCACAAGUGCCAGCAGUUGUUAGAGCAUAAGUACAAAGGAGUAGCACGGAAUUUAUCAAACUUGUGAAGUGGUUACAUGAGCAAAAAUAAGUGGUGCUUCAUGAAAAAGAUAAUUAGCUACUAAGGAAGCAACGUGAACUUUAUCCUAUCAACAGAGGCUGACAACAGAAAACAGCCAAAACCAUGAAACAAAAGAAAUGGCUAUUCCUUUUAGAUGCAAAGUAUGUCCACACCUCUACAAAAUCUGUGCCAUUUGCAGCAAAGAAAGGCAGUCCUGCUUCACCAGCAAUGGCUUUAGCGAGCAGUGUUUUACCAGUUCCUGGAGGCCCAUGGAGAAGGACACCUUUUGGGCAAUAGAUACCUUUAUCUUGAAACUCUUCAUCAUUCUUCAAAAUGCGUACAAUCUCUUGCAGUUCCCUCUUUAUAUAUUCCUGGCCAGCAAAAUCAUCAAAGGUAACACCGGUGGUUUCUUCUGCUGAUAUAAACUUUGCCCUGGUGGAAAGGAAGUCAGAAAUUAGACCCCAAGUGCAUCAUUGCGGGGGGAAAAAAAACCAAAAUGCUCACAAAACCAUCUAAAGUUGUCAUGAUUUAAUUGCAAAACUGUAACAAUGUUAAGACACGCAAUAGUAAACAUUAAAUAAAUCCCUUUUCCGGAAACAACAAUAUUUGUAACAAUUAACUCAGAAACCAUAGAGAAUACAUGCACGAACAGAAGUUUCAAGGGAGCUUGGAAGAUCUAAUCAAAUUUGAAUUAAUUUCCAUAAACAGAAUAAUGAUUCUUUUGAAAACAACUAGCAUGAGAUCUCUAGAUAACACAUGCAAGCCUGUGGACCGUAUAGUAGUAUAGUAGAUGAAAAUGAUCACUGGAUGGUAGUCCAUCAAUUACUUUAGCGUUACCAACGUUCUAAACUGGCAAUGGAUAAUAGAUAACAAUUAUUAGGACACCAACUCUCCACACUAUUAUUUUCUUGAUUUUAAAUUAAAUAUAGUUUAAGCAAAGCUUCUAAAUUCUGACAAUUUUCCACUUACCUACUCUUGCCUAAUGACCCAAGUGCACGACGCUUGAGUGGCUGCCUAACUGUUUCGCUCGGCUUUCCCAAGUCACAAGGUAUUAACUUCGCAUAAAUAGGUCUCGUCAUAUUAUCAAUCCAGAGAUAUAACACAAUAGAAAGAGCAAGUCGCAUUGCCCAUAUGACAGCAGUUGCAACAGUGGAGUAGACUUCUGCAGGGACUGCAUUCACAUUAUGGACAUCAACAUUGACUAUUUGCUGGUGCAACUUUUGCCAAACAUCAUUCCAACAGUCAAUUGGCAUACGGUCAACCACAUGGCGCCGGAAAAUUAUUUCUUUGUUUGAAUUUCCUUCUGAUCCUUUCUUUUUUGCCUCUUUGUAGUAUGGAAGAAUCACUGUUCAUAUGAGCAAUUCAAAUGAACACACGAUGAGUAAGUUGUAGGCAUCUUUCAGAAUAUAGAUCUAUUAUAAGGUGACGAGGCAAAAGGCAAACCAUGCCUUCAGGAAGUCUACGAUUAAAUAACAAUAAAAUCAACAUCACAAAAGACCAGAAGAUUCACUUGGAUGAUGCAUCUGAACUUUAGCAUCAAUAGCAGGGACUGCAAUAUGAGAAAGAAAUUUGCAAUGGGGUACACAUUUGUUCAUAAGGAAUAAAUAAACGGAACAUCAUUGCCUUAAUCCAGGGGCCAGAAAAAAGAAAAGGCUGCAUCGUAUGUUACAUGAUGAAAUCCAAGGAGAUAUUUAUAAAGAUAAUGAUUCUAAUAUAUUAACUUCUACUCAAUUAUGCAAAACAUUAGUUUUUGUAAUGGAAUUCGAAAAACGACUCGUGUGGCCAACCUGAUUAGGCUUGCAUUUGAGGCUUGACUGAGAUAAGUUUAAUCAGAUAUUUUUCUGGCAACAUUCUUAAUCUCAUUGAGAAUUCCAUUUGCACACUAAUCAAUUAUUUUAAAAAACAGAAAGAAAAUCAUUUCCUAUAAUGUCUCUAAUAAAUGGACUAAGAGAAUGCACGAAGCAAUGUACUGGACCCAGUUACUGCAAAAACAAUCCCAGCAAACGCAAGUACAUAUAAAAAGCACUAACUAUUCAUUAACCACUAAAAACAGUUAAAAGAACUAAAACCCAGAAAAAAAAAUAUAACAGCAGCAAAGAUUAAAAAGAACAACUUUCCAACCUGAAACAUUCUGGCCGUAAUUUGCGUACUCCAUAAACUGAACAUUAUUGGAGUUAACAAGUCUCAAAAAAUCACUAAAAUCAAUCCUAUGAGAGUUCUCAGGAUCCCAUUCCGUUCCUUUUAACUUUCCUCGCAUCAUCAACAAUGCCCUGCUCCAGUUUGAAGCCAUUACUAGAUUCCUCUCUAAUUGUAUAUCUGCCUUUCUCUCCAAUUCUUCCAAUUUAUUAAUUCUUUUUCUUUCUGCUUCUUUCAGUUUCUAAAAAGUUACACAGAAAUAAAGUUACAAUCUUUGAGAGGUUUUAUAAAUAAAAAUUUUAAAAAUGUACUUUAUUGUUACCAAAUCAUAGAAAUACAAAGAUAGCCCUUCUGUUUUCUUCUCUCACUUUCUGAGAGACCAAACAGUGGUUCAUUUUCGGAAAAAAAUAAAAUAAAAUAUUUCAGAACUUGGGGAUAGAUAAAUAUGAAUUCAGGACCGUGUAGCUACAUUUUCUUUCCGCACUUUCUCAGUGGCCAAACAAAACUUAAUUUUUUUGGGAAAUAAAUAAAUCAAGUAAAUAUAUAUAUAAAAAACUGAAAUUUCCAGUUUCCUAACAAAUGAAAUGAAAAACAGCGUAAUAUUAAAACAAAAAUAGAAAAUUCACUUCAUUUUUUUUCCCAUGAACUUUCCCUGUAACCAAACAGAACCCAACUUUGUUAUAAAUAAAAUAAAAAAUAAAAAUACUAAUGCAUAAAAAGAAGUGAGGAAAAGAUAAGUAAAAACCUCGAAUAACUGUGUGGACUCGGGGUCUUCUUCAGCUACUUGUGCUGAGUUAGAGGAAGAGGUAACCGAGUUAGAAGAAGAAGCAACAAAGGCAGUGAAUUUAAGUGACUUGUGAUUUCUAAAGAGAAGUGAGUGACGAUCUCUGAAGCUUAAUUUGGUUUUGAAAACAAGCUUAUGAGGGAAUUGAAUGGCUAGAGAUGAAUAUGGGAUUUGAAGAAUUGAAUUCGAAACGAGGGAUUUCAUUUCUCUACUACUAGAAUUUAUUAUUAGAAUACUAUCAGUUUGAAGAGGAAAGGAAAAGGAAUUGGAUUCCUCUCUCUCUCUCUCUCUCUCUCUCGGGAAUUCAGUUUAAUGAAUAGCAGCGAAUGUGGGUUUGGAUUAGAAAUGAGUGUUUGGAUUUUUGUUUUAUUUGUUGCCCAUUUCCUUCUCUGGGUUUUUGUGUAGGGGUUUUGGGAUGAGAAGAAGGUGAUGAUCCAUGAUAAACCUUCCAACGGUGCCGUUUUAAAUGGUAGGGAUAUAGGAGGAUACAAAUGUUAUUACAACUAUUAAAUAAUAUUAUUUCUUUACACCUAAAUGUUUAUUUUCUUAAUAUGAUAUUUGAAAUCAUUUUUAAUAUUGUUCAUAAAGUUAAGAAAUUAUAGUUUUAAAAAACCUCAAUAUGAUAAUUGAAUUCAUUUAAAAAAACUUGCAUAUAAAAACUUAAUAUAUAAUUCAACAAUUUACAAAUUCAUCGAGCCAAAAUAAUCCUAGUUGUAAAAUCUACAUCAACAAACUUAGUUCAAUUUAGAUUAAAAAAGUAAAAAUAACUUAACCCAGCCUGAUAAAAAUCUUAAGUCAAUCCAAAAUAAAAAAACCUAUUCAAAACCGAACUUUUAAUUCAUUGAAUUUUUUUUAAAAAAUAAAUUAUCAAAACAAUAUUAUUUUAAUUUUUUAUUUUAAUCAUAGUUAACCUUUCUAACUUAUAACCUAAUAUUGCCCCGGAUAUAAAACCUUUAAAAACUAUAUUAUUAAAGUGUUGUGUGACAGAAAAGAAGGUUUUACAUAUCCAAUUUUUUUUUCUUUCAUGCCAUAAUACCUCAUGUCAAAAAUAGUAGAAACAUGGAAUUUAUUGUUAAAUUAAUAUUUAAAAAAAAAUCUCAUGACCCCAGGAAAAAAAAGAAUCCCAAUGGACUCGAUUUCAAAAGAAAAAAAAAAAAAAAGAGAUUUCUUUCUUUACUUUCUGUCCCAACAAAAUGGAUAAUCGAAUGAAAUGCUCUCAGGAUCACAGUGGCCAGACGGACACAAGGGGGGGCUGAUAAAUUUCGGUCAGCACUCACAUGAGAUACAGUGUUUUACAUACCAAACCAUGAUAUGGGGCUCUCCUUGAACCGAAUAAUUCAAACAAAGAAUAUUAGUAUAGGAGUGAUACAACAACGAAAUCUGGGUUUUCUGCUAGUGGCCAUGCAAGUCCUUCUCCCCUCCUCUAACUCUGCUAAUGUUAAGAACUAAGAAUGAAUGCUGGCUAGGCUCCAUCGAUUUUGGUUUAGACAACCAGACUAGGUUGUU
rnacentral:lncRNA from 1 species